GAAUUCGCCCUUAGAGUUUGAUCCUGGCUCAGGACGAACGCUGGCGGCGCGCCUAACACAUGCAAGUCGAACGGAGCUGAGAGGAGCUUGCUUUUCUUAGCUUAGUGGCGAACGGGUGAGUAACGCGUGAGUAACCUGCCCUGGAGGGGGGGACAACAGUUGGAAACGACUGCUAAUACCGCAUAAGCCCACGGGUCGGCAUCGACCAGAGGGAAAAGGAGCAAUCCGCUUUGAGAUGGCCUCGCGUCCGAUUAGCUAGUUGGUGAGGUAAUGGCCCACCAAGGCGACGAUCGGUAGCCGGACUGAGAGGUUGAACGGCCACAUUGGGACUGAGACACGGCCCAGACUCCUACGGGAGGCAGCAGUGGGGAAUAUUGCACAAUGGGGGAAACCCUGAUGCAGCGACGCCGCGUGAGUGAAGAAGUAUUUCGGUAUGUAAAGCUCUAUCAGCAGGGAAGAAAGUGACGGUACCUGAAUAAGAAGCCCCGGCUAACUACGUGCCAGCAGCCGCGGUAAAACGUAGGUCACAAGCGUUGUCCGGAAUUACUGGGUGUAAAGGGAGCGCAGGCGGGAAGACAAGUUGGAAGUGAAAUCUAUGGGCUCAACCCAUAAACUGCUUUCAAAACUGUUUUUCUUGAGUAGUGCAGAGGUAGGCGGAAUUCCCGGUGUAGCGGUGGAAUGCGUAGAUAUCGGGAGGAACACCAGUGGCGAAGGCGGCCCACUGGGCACCAACUGACGCUGAGGCUCGAAAGUGUGGGUAGCAAACAGGAUUAGAUACCCUGGUAGUCCGCACUGUAAACGAUGAUUACUAGGUGUUGGGGGAUUGACCCCCUCAGUGCCGCAGUUAACACAAUAAGUAAUCCACCUGGGGAGUACGACCGCAAGGUUGAAACUCAAAGGAAUUGACGGGGGCCCGCACAAGCAGUGGAGUAUGUGGUUUAAUUCGAAGCAACGCGAAGAACCUUACCAGGUCUUGACAUCCGAUGCAUAACACAGAGAUGUGUGAAAUCCUUCGGGACAUCGAGACAGGUGGUGCAUGGUUGUCGUCAGCUCGUGUCGUGAGAUGUUGGGUUAAGUCCCGCAACGAGCGCAACCCUUAUUGCCAGUUACUACGUUAAGAGGACUCUGGCGAGACUGCCGUUGACAAAACGGAGGAAGGUGGGGAUGACGUCAAAUCAUCAUGCCCUUUAUGACCUGGGCUACACACGUACUACAAUGGCGUUAAACAAAGAGAAGCAAGACCGCGAGGUGGAGCAAAACUCAAAAACAACGUCUCAGUUCAGAUUGCAGGCUGCAACUCGCCUGCAUGAAGUCGGAAUUGCUAGUAAUCGCGGAUCAGCAUGCCGCGGUGAAUACGUUCCCGGGCCUUGCACACACCGCCCGUCA
rnacentral:rRNA from 1 species